rnacentral:tRNA from 1 species
UCGGUUGUGUGCCUUUGGGUACGAAGCUCCUUUGGUAAGGGAGAGGUCAAGAGUUCAAAUCUCUUCGGCAGCACCA